CCUACGGGGGGCAGCAGUGGGGAAUAUUGCACAAUGGGGGAAACCCUGAUGCAGCAACGCCGCGUGGAGGAUGAAGGUUUUCGGAUUGUAAACUCCUUUUGUUAGAGAAGAUAAUGACGGUAUCUAACGAAUAAGCACCGGCUAACUCCGUGCCAGCAGCCGCGGUAAUACGGAGGGUGCAAGCGUUACUCGGAAUAACUGGGCGUAAAGAGCGCGUAGGCGGGAUAGCAAGUCAGAUGUGAAAUCCUUUGGCUUAACCAUAGAACUGCAUUUGAAACUGGUAUUCUAGAGUAUGGGAGAGGUAGGUAGAAUUCUUGGUGUAGGGGUAAAAUCCGUAGAGAUCAAGAGGAAUACUCAUUGCGAAGGCGACCUGCUAGAACAUAACUGACGCUGAUGCGCGAAAGCGUGGGGAGCAAACAGGAUUAGAUACCCUUGUAGUC
rnacentral:rRNA from 1 species